UACGGGGGGAGCAAGCGUUGUUCGGAUUUACUGGGCGUAAAGGGCGCGUAGGCGGCUACGCACGUCCGUUGUGAAAUCGCUCGGCUCAACUGGGCGGGGUCAGCGGAUACGGUGUAGCUGGAGCAAGCUAGGGGGCAAUGGAAUUCCCGGUGUAGUGGUGGAAUGCGUAGAUAUCGGGAGGAACACCAGUGGCGAAGGCGGUUGCCUGGAGCUUUGCUGACGCUGAGGCGCGAAAGCGUGGGGAGCGAUCCGG
rnacentral:rRNA from 1 species